GAAAGAGUUAAAAGUGUCUGAAAUUUCCGAAAGGGAAGCGAUUGAAACUUUUGUUCCUCCAGGGUGCCGGUGGUUCUCAGUAUCCUUCUCUCUAAAUCUCCGCCUUGGGGUUUUGGAGUUUUGCUGUUACUGUUUGCCACUCUGAUCCCUGGGGCUUCGUCAGCACCAGUGGUCACCUGACUAUUCUCCCCAAGGAAGGUAGGUCCCUCGUGGGCUGUUAUAGCCUUGGGUUUGGUUCGUUCAGGUGUCUGCUGAGGUGUGUUUUCCGCGUUCGUCGGCUCCACCUUCGAGUACCGUCGUUCUGCGGUGCUGUCCCUAGCGGUUUCAACCGACCCGUCUUGAAACACGGAUCAAGGAGUCUAACAUAUGUGCGAGUAUGCGGGCGGCAACCCUGUAUGCACAAUGAAAGUGAGGGUAGGGAGAGGUUUUAUUUUUGCAUUUCUCGCACCUACGACCGACCACGAACUCUGUGAGAGGUUUGAAUUGUAGCACAUCUGUUAGGACCCAAAAGAUGCUGAACUAUGCCUGAGUAAGGUGAAGUCAGGCGAAAGCCUGAUGGAGGCUCGUAGCGAUACUGACGUGCAAAUCGUUCGUCAAACUUGGGUAUAGGGGCGAAAGACUAAUCGAACCGUCUAGUAGCUGGUUUCUUCCGAAGUUUCUCUCAGGAUAGCUGGAGUUCUAUUAGUUUUAUCAGGUAAAGCGAAUGAUUAGAGGCCUCGGGGGCGCGUUGCCCUCGACCUAUUCUCAAACUUUAAAUGGGUAAGAUCCAGUGGUUACUUUAUUGAACUGCUGGGGUUAAUAUGAACUCCAAGUGGGCUAUUUUAAGCAGAACUGGCGAUGAGGGAUGCUCCUAACGCUUGGUUAAGGUGCCUAAAUACUCGCUCCUCAGACACCAUAAAAACAGGGGCACUGCGGGGCCUUGUAUGUGGGGUGGGGCGAUCCCGUUUCAGGGAUUGUUGGGAUCGUCUCCUCCCCUGGAGGAGGUAAUAAUCUACCUAUCUCCUCCGCCACGCUGCAGAGGCCUGUUGCUAGAGACAACAGCAGCAGCAACAACAACGGCAGCAACAGUUAGAGCAGCGGCAACAGCAACAACGAGAGCAGCUGUACCUGCUGCUACUGCUGCUGCUUGAAGAGAUGCGAGCAGCAGCAACAGCAGCAAAAACACGCGGGAAGCACCAAACGACCCAAGGUGGAAAACACAAAACAUCACAAACAUAGCCAAAAAGGAUUGCAGAACACUCCAGCCCCCAUGAGUAUAAUUAUAGACUCAUGGGGGUACAUAUAUAUAUAUAUAUAUAUAUAUAU
rnacentral:ncRNA from 1 species